rnacentral:rRNA from 1 species
AGAUUGAACGCUGGCGGCAGGCCUAACACAUGCAAGUCGAGCGGUAGAGAGGUGCUUGCAUCUCUUGAGAGCGGCGGACGGGUGAGUAAUGCCUAGGAAUCUGCCUAGUGGUGGGGGAUAACGUUCGGAAACGGACGCUAAUACCGCAUACGUCCUACGGGAGAAAGCGGGGGACCUUCGGGCCUCGCGCCAUUAGAUGAGCCUAGGUCGGAUUAGCUUAGUUGGUGAAGGUAUGGCUCACCGAAGGCGACGAUCCGUAACUGGUCUGAGACGGAUGAUCAGUCACACGUGAACUGAGACGACGGUCCAGACUCCGUACGGGAGCAGCGAAGGUGGGAAUAGUUAGGACAAGUGGGGACAAACGCCUAGAUCCGACGCCUAGUCGGCCGUCGUGGUCGGUAGAA